UGAAUACGAGAUGCUACGGCGUCGAAGCAGUCUAUGUCAUACUUCCAAGAAAGCUUGCACUGUCAUAAACAAAUAAUGCCUGUACCAUAACCGACACAGGUGGGUAGGUAGAGUAUACUAAGGGGCGCGAGAUAACUCUCUCUAAGGAACUCGGCAAAAUGACUCCGUAACUUCGGGAGAAGGAGUGCCUUAUUUAUAAGGUUGCAAUAACAAGAUCCAAGCAACUGUUUACCAAAAACACAGGUCUCCGCUAAGUCGUAAGACGAUGUAUGGGGGCUGACGCCUGCCCAGUGCCAGAAGGUUAAAGAAGUUGGUUAGCAUCCGCGAAGCUGAUAACUGAAGCCCUGGUGAACGGCGGCCGUAACAAUAACGGUCCUAAGGUAGCGAAAUUCCUUGUCGGGUAAGUUCCGACCCGCACGAAAGGCGUAAUGAUUUGGAUACUGUCUCGGAGAGGGGCUCGGUGAAAUAGACUUGUCUGUGAAGAUGCGGACUACCUGCACCAGGACAGAAAGACCCUAUGAAGCUUUACUGUAACCUGAAAUUGAAAUUGGACUUUACUUGCGCAGUAUAGGUGGGAGGCGUUGAGAAUAUUCUUGCGGGAUUAUUGGAGCCAUCAGUGAGAUACCACUCUUGUAAUGUUAGAUUUCUAACUUUGUAUCAUUAUCUGGUCAAAGAACAGUUUCAGGCGGGCAGUUUGACUGGGGCGGUCGCCUCCUAAACGGUAACGGAGGCGCACAAAGGUUUCCUCUGAACGGGUAGAAAUCGUAUCUAGAGUGUAAAGGCAUAAGGAAGCUUGACUGUGAGACCUACAAGUCGAGCAGGGACGAAAGUCGGUCUUAGUGAUCUGACGGUGCUGAGUGGAAAGGCCGUCACUCAACGGAUAAAAGUUACUCUAAGGAUAACAGGCUGAUCUCCCCCAAGAGUUCACAUCGACGGGGAGGUUUGGCACCUCGAUGUCGGCUCAUCGCAUCCUGGGGCGGUAGUACGUCCCAAGGGUUGGGCUGUUCGCCCAUGAAAGCGGUACGCGAGCUGGGUUCAGAACGUCGUGAGACAGUUCGGUCCAUAUCCGGUGUAGGCGUUAGAAUAUUGAGAGGAGCCUUCUUUAGUACGAGAGGACCGAGAAGGACAUACCUCUGGUGUACCAGUUAUCGUGCCAACGGUAAACGCUGGGUAGCUAUGUGUGGAGUGGAUAACCGCUGAAAGCAUCUAAGUGGGAAGCCCACCUCAAGAUUAGUAUUCUC
rnacentral:rRNA from 1 species